AACGAACGCUGGCGGCAGGCUUAACACAUGCAAGUCGAACGCCCCGCAAGGGGAGUGGCAGACGGGUGAGUAACGCGUGGGAACAUACCCUUUCCUGCGGAAUAGCUCUGGGAAACUGGAAUUAAUACCGCAUACGCCCUACGGGGGAAAGAUUUAUCGAGGAAGGAUUGGCCCGCGUUGGAUUAGCUAGUUGGUGGGGUAAAGGCCUACCAAGGCGACGAUCCAUAGCUGGUCUGAGAGGAUGAUCAGCCACAUUGGGACUGAGACACGGCCCAAACUCCUACGGGAGGCGGCAGUGGGGAAUAUUGGACAAUGGGCGCAAGCCUGAUCCAGCCAUGCCGCGUGAGUGAUGAAGGCCUUAGGGUUGUAAAGCUCUUUCACCGAUGAAGAUAAUGACGGUAGUCGGAGAAGAAGCCCCGGCUAACUUCGUGCCAGCCGCCGCCGUAAAAC
rnacentral:rRNA from 1 species